GAAUCACGAGUCCCUUCAACUCGGAACUCAGAAUCGAUUAACUCACUUCUUUUUACUAUCAUUCUCAACUAAUUCACAAUGCAUGACAUGAUCUGAGAUUGUUCACUGAGUUUGACGAUUUCGAAUGAUUAUUUUUAUGAAUUUCAGGAAGGUGGGAAGAAGGAUUUCUCGACCGCAAUCUUAGAGCGAAAGAAAGUGGCGAAUCGACUCGUCGGGCGGUCAAUGACGACAUGAUCAAGGUUUUGGUUGCUUUUGCUUUUUAAUUUAUAUUUAUAUUUGUAUUUGUUUCUUUCUAUUUUGGUAGAAUUUGGAUAAUAGGGCUAUGGACCGUGUUGAUAUAAUUCAUAUUAUUCUGGUACUAUAUAUGAUUCUAGUCCAUCUCUGAACUCAAACCAGCUGUUUGGUGUCAAAAUCUCUCCACGGUCAUGUUCUUGCAGAGGUAAUUGUUUUGCUUCCCAUUGUUGAAUUAGGAUUUUCUUUUUGUGCUUAAUUGGGUUUCUGAGAAAAUCAGAAAAGAAAAUAAAACUUGGUUCACUUACAACAACCAUGUUAAUCUCAUUUUGUUGUAAGAUUUCCAAGUUUUCUUUUCUUUUCCUCCAGAAAAGUAUUUGCUUUCAAUCAUUUUGUUCAGUAUCAAAAAAUUUAAGCUUAACAAUUAACUGUUGAAAGUUCUAAGUGUAGAAUUUAGUUGUUAUUUUCUGAUUGGUAAGUGAAGAUGGUAUGGUUUUGAAACAGAACUAUACAUCAACAGAAAGCAAAAUCCAUAGUGGGUUUUCAAGAACAGAUACGCUAUGUUUAUAAGUCCUAAUGUGCUUCAAUUGUCAUUCGGUAGUUUCAUUUUCUAUACAAGAAGUUGAAUAUUGCUUACAAAGUCUAGCUAUUAUUGAGAUCCAGUGUAUGUAACUAUCUUGUCAUGAAGACUUCUCUUGCAAAUUUGGAUAAAAUAAUUUCAUCAGGAUUUGUUCUGAAUUUUGGACUUCCAGAACCACUAUGCUCACGAAUUUGUCACUGAUUAGGCCAAUUAUUUAUUCACAUUCGAGAUAACAUACUAAAAGUUUUUGACUCGUUUUCCUUCCUGAGAAAUCAUGACUUCAGAUGAGCUUCUGUUUUGAGAUUUCAUACAAGUGAUCAUUUGUCAAAAGUGCAAAGUGCUAAUUUGUUCCAUAUAGGUGGAAGCUUUCGUAUUUUCCAAACACUUUAUGCUUCUGUUUUUUCCACUGUUUCUUUUAUUUCUGCAGAGCUGCUAGCCAUGAGAUCUUUUUGCACAACUAGAUAAAAUCAUUUUUUUCGCUGUUCGAAGUACAUCCAGUUUAUUCAGGGCACUCACAGCCUUUUGUGAUUUAACUGCAGGGAAAGAAGGGAGUUUGGCUUAAGCUGCCACUUGAGGGAUCCGAGCUUGUUCCUAUAGCAGUAAAGCUCUGAAUGAGGGGUACUUUGGCAGCACAGUGGAUAGCAGGAACACGAGAGACUUCAUUCGUAAUGAUAUAGUUUCAUCCGAGAUCAAAGGUGCUUCAUGUACUUGACUCUUAGUUUUUGCUAUUGUUUUAUUCAGCUUCGAAUUUCUAAGCAAGAGUUGUUCAAAUAUUGUGCAGGAUUGCAAACAGUACGUUGGGUGCUUCCCUGAUUCCUAAAAUAGUACUCUAUAAUAUUUUAAUUAUUUUGUGUAAUGUUUAUGCUUGCUAAGUUAUAAUGUGAUCCCAGUCUCUGCAAUAAUAACUGCGUUAUCAUGAGUUGUUAAUCCUUAUUUAUUUUAUUUUUUUAUAGUUUCUGUUUCAAUUUGUUGAGUGCUGAAUGCAAAAUUUUUGAUUGGGCAGAAGUUGAAGCUGAAGUUGAAGCUGAAGCUGAAGCUGAAGCUGCACUUAUUAAAAAGCUAGAAAAAAAGAAAGUUUGAAGAUGCAAGGGUCAUGCUUUUUUUAAUUUCCUUGGCCGAGUGUUCGCUACUUUUGUGAAAAUUUCUUUUGGUUGUGUUUACUUCUUUUCUGAAAACUUCUUUAGCAGUUUUAUUUAUUAUGAUGUAAACUCUUAUUCUUUUUGGUUGCCUAAAUCUAUUACACAUUUGGAUGGUA